AUUGAACGCUGGCGGCAUGCCUAACACAUGCAAGUCGAACGGCAGCACGGCAGUAGCAAUACUGUGGGUGGCGAGUGGCGGACGGGUGAGGAAUACGUCGGAAUCUGCCCAGUCGUGGGGGAUAACUAGCCGAAAGGUUAGCUAAUACCGCAUACGACCGAGAGGUGAAAGCGGGGGACCGCAAGGCCUCGCGCGAUUGGAUGAGCCGACGUCGGAUUAGCUAGUUGGAGGGGUAAAGGCCCACCAAGGCGACGAUCCGUAGCUGGUCUGAGAGGAUGAUCAGCCACACUGGAACUGAGACACGGUCCAGACUCCUACGGGAGGCAGCAGUGGGGAAUAUUGGACAAUGGGCGCAAGCCUGAUCCAGCAAUGCCGCGUGUGUGAAGAAGGCCUCGUG
rnacentral:rRNA from 1 species